GAGCACAUGUUUCAUUCGAAUAAACUUCAUUCCUGCUCUUUUGGAAAUCUGAGCUUGCUGAUGAGGAGAUUAGAAAAAAAAAUUCAAAUGCAUCUGGGUGGGUUUUUACCAAAAAAAAAAAAAAUCUCUGAUCAAACAUUUGUGGAGUUGGACAAAGGCUUGUGGGAGAAAAUGGGCGGAGGUCCUGCAGGAUUUUAAUUGGUUCGCAUUACAAAGAAAGGGGCGGGGCUUGUGCUGCGGUGAUGUGAUGCAGCUGCAGGAGGAGAGAAGAAGAGGAGAAGGUGAGGAAGAGGAGGAUGGGAAGUUAGUUCCUCUGCUCUCCGACAAGAUGAACAGCUCAACGUUCACUGUGACUUUACUUUGACUGGAGGUUUUUUUUUCCAGAAAACAUAUUUUGGCACUUUUUUUGUUCUUUUCCUGCUUUGCAUAUGUUUAAUCCUCGUUUUGCAAAGUCGCUCUCAGCUGGAAGAUGUUGCUCUGCUGCUGGACAUGCACCGUUUUCCUCCUCGGCCUGCUGAGCUCCUCCUCAGCUGACGAUGCAGCAGCGGAGGACUUCGGAGGAGAGUCUGGCUCCGGGAUGCUGCAGGCAGAUGAGGUGAACAUCCUGCAGGAACUUUCUUUUCAAGUGUCCGACAGCAGAAACGCCUCCAUGAUUAAGGAGGCCGGCAGGUGUCCGGUGCUACAGGUGGGACAGUAUUCAACGCUGGCUCUGCCUCUGAGACAGAUCUUCACCGAUGGGUUUGAGGACGAGUUCAGUUUACUGGUGCAGCUGCGAAGCCCUCAGAGGGAAGAGUACAGCGUCUUCACGAUGCUCAGCCCUGACAGCCACGUCACGAUGCAGCUGCGGAUCAGCGCCGUCGCCGUCAUCUUCAUCGGAACGCAGCAGCGACACUACGAGCGUCUCUUGGCAGGUUUCUCCUCUUCGGUAACCACAAAAGCUCGAAGCAAUACAUCACGGCAAGACAGAACAACAGGACUGGGCCAAAAGAUAGACACACACAGAUACUGUACUUAUCUUGUACUGCUGGCAAAUCACUGGCUUUAUUUUAAAGCUGCAUGUUCAUCAAGUGUGUUUGAGCUGUGAUUUAUAUUUAAACUCACAUUAAUUAGUCACUUUACAGGUCUUGGUAGGUACGUGUGCAUACACUACUGUUCAAAAGUUUGGGGUCACUUAGCCCUUUAAGACCUAACAGGACACAUUCUUAAUUUUUACAGACUGCAUGAGUAUUUUUAUUUGCAUUACAUUUGCUUUACAGCAAUAUGACCCUUUUAUCCCAAAUUUUAAGAACAGAUAUUGACUUAUGUCUUAACUACUACAAUAAGUUGCUUAGAAGUACAAUAAACCUAAGAAAAAAUUGAAGUCUUUUUUGUUUUUUUUCCACAUAUUUCAAAAUACAGAAAUUGCAUAGCUGUGUCCCUUAAAUGUGUAAAAAAAAAGUUGUCCAAUA
ensembl:lncRNA